GAUUUCAUCAACUGUAAUGUCUCUGUUCAAAGUAUUUGGUCCAGCUGAUGGUUGGUGCCAUGUCUUGUAGCUGAUGGAAUUGAUUAAUACUUUCAAGACAAGCAGGUAGAUAUGUCCAGUUGGAAUCUUGCACUGUGCUCAGGGCUAUGUUAUACUUGACAUAGUCGGGGUUUGCAGCAAGGAAAGCGUAAUUAUGAAGGUGGUGACAGAUCAGCAAGAUUUGGUGGUCCAAUAGGUCGAGCACCAAGAGAGUUUGGAGGAGAUGAGGGUGGUGCUCCAGCAGAGUGUCAACCAAAAUUUAAGCCUCUCAAUGAAUGAUGAACAACCUACUGCGGGCACACACUAAUGCAUCCCAAAGAGUGAAAUAAAGCUCUCCAUUUGAGGCAGUGGGUACCAACAAUUCCUCAUUUUGGUGUGUUCAGCCAUCAAAUCAAGCAGUUUGUGAUAGAUGGAAACAAGGUUGUACUCGGUAUUCCUGAAACCAGAGUUGAUGAUGUAGAAUUUUAGGAGAAUGAAGUUUAUGCAAUUGAUAUGGUUUCCAGCACAGGGGAAGGGAGUAAAUCAUUUUGCUGGUUAAAUGCACUUGUCUUGCAACUUAUUGUUAGUUAGGACUUCGAGUUAUAUUGGUAUGAACUCAUGAUUUAUAUCAUUUUUUGUGUAAUUUGAACCUAAUUAAUCAAUGAACAAUAAAUGGAAAAUUAUUUGAAUUUA